rnacentral:rRNA from 1 species
AUGGACUCACUUGAGUGUCUCGGCGUGGAUGGCCACUUCCGCGAAGAGAUUGAAUCGGCCAUAAGCCGGAUCGUUCACCCGGAUGAGUCCGCUGGUUCUGAUGACCUUCAUGUUGUCGCGACUCGGUUUCGGUUGCUUCGGCAGCAUGGGAUAUGGGUGUCCACAGAUGCCUUGGACAACUUUAGAGAUGGCAUGGGCAACUUCAAGGCAAGCCUGAGCAGUGACCCGAGGGCUCUACUAAGCUUGUACAACGCAGCUCACAUGGCGGUACCGGGUGAUGGCCCGGCCCUCGACGAUGUCAUCAACUUCACACGACACCAGCUCGAGGCCAUUGCAGCAAAAGGUGAGCUCCGGUCGCCGUUGGCGGAGCAGGUCGCCCGCGCCCUCGACCACCCUCUCCCGCGGUUCACCAGGCUGCUAGAGACCAUGUAUUACGUAGGUGAGUAUGCGCGGGAGGAGACGCACGACAAUACGCUGCUAGAGCUUGCUAGGUUCAACUCUCACCUCAUGAGGUCUCUUCACCUCAGGGAGCUAAAGGCACUGUCCUUGUGGUGGAGGGAUCUUUACGACACGGUGAAUCUACCGUACACUCGAGAACGUAUGGUGGAGGUCUACUUUUGGAGUUGUGGAAUGAUCCCUGAGGAGGAACACUCACGCGCACGAUUGAUGUUCGCCAAGACGUUUGGGUUGGUGACUUUUCUUGACGAUACCUAUGAUGUCCAUGCCACCUUAGAGGAAUGUCACAGUUUCACCGAAGCCAUGCAGAGAUGGGACGAUAGCGCGGUUUCUAUUCUACCUGAAUACCUUCGCAUGCCAUACAUCAAAACGCUAAGCAACUUCAAAGAUUUUGAGAAUAUGUUGAAACCGCACGAGAAGUACCGCAUGUCUUAUGCAAGAAAGGUGUACCAGCUGCAGGCGGAAUAUUAUAUGCAAGAGGCCCAAUGGUCCAACGACAAGCAUCGGCCGACCUUCAAGGAACACGAGUAG